CAGUAGCCGCGGGAAUACAGAGGGUGCGAGCGUUAAUCGGAUUUACUGGGCGUAAAGCGUGCGUAGGCGGCUUUUUAAGUCGGAUGUGAAAUCCCUGAGCUUAACUUAGGAAUUGCAUUCGAUACUGGGAAGCUAGAGUAUGGGAGAGGAUGGUAGAAUUCCAGGUGUAGCGGUGAAAUGCGUAGAGAUCUGGAGGAAUACCGAUGGCGAAGGCAGCCAUCUGGCCUAAUACUGACGCUGAGGUACGAAAGCAUGGGGAGCAAACAGGAUUAGAGACCCCGGUAGUCCCUGUCUCUUAUAA
rnacentral:rRNA from 1 species